UCGUUCGCGCUAGAGACGACACAGGCACACAGCCAUGGCCGCCGCCGCCGCCGUCCCCACUCCCGGCGACCACGCUUGCCGGCGGCAGUGGCGGUACACGUGGGAAGCCCUGGGCCACCUCCCGCUCCUCCGCCUCUACGUAUUCCCCCGCCCCGCGCUCCCCGCCGCCAUCCCCUCCGGCGGUCUCCGCGCCGACCUCCGCCUCGAGGACUCCCUCCUCCUCCUCUCCUUCUCGCUCGCCGGGGAGGCCGCCCCCGUCGCGCUCAGGGUCCCCGUGCCGAGGGUGCUCGUCGACCCCGCCGCCCCCGUCGAGUGCCGCGCCGCGGGGGACCACGUCGAGGUCCGCCUCGCGCUCGUCCUCCCCGUCGACCACCCCGUCGUCGCCGCCGCGUUCCCGCCGCCGCACGGCGCCGAGCCGCCCGCGCCGCUCGUUGUGCGCGAUGAUUUGAAGAGUCUGUCUACUGGAGACGUUCAUUUGUAUUGCAAGAAUUGCUCAGCAAGGUUGACAAAACAGGCACUGAGGAAAAUCAUGGAAAUGCCAUCUGUAAAUUGGGAAGAUGUGGCUGACAAUUGGUUUGGUGGAUGUUGCACCUCAUUUAGUGGUGCAGGCGAGAAGCUUGUAGCUCAGUUUAUUAAUGCAUAUGGUCGUUUAGAGGGAACAAGUCUACUGGAUACAACUGCCAUUACUAUUGAAACAGACUAUCUUGAGUCAGAUUUAGUGGCUCAGGUAGCUUGUUCGGCGAGUAGUGAUUUCAGUGCUAUGGAAGAAGCUAUAUCUGAUGUUAGUGUAGGAAAAGGUCAUGCCUCUGGGAAGAUAAAAUUGAAUAAUUCAGAAGAGCAAGCAAAUAUCACCACUACUCAUGCACAACCUCCAUUUAUUUUGGAAAAGGGACAUAGUGUUAGUAGUAGAGAAACAAAUGGAGUCACUCUUCAGACUGAUCAAUCUGGCACUUGUGAGAUGGAAAUCGAUAUUGAUGUGAACUUUGAGAAGCCUAAAAAUGACUCUUGUGUUGAGAAGAUGGAGGAAUCUAACAAAGAGGUCGAUUUGUCACUGGUAGAUCCUUGCCAUGGCUGUUGUGUCUAUGAAUACAAUGGGAAAGCUGAAGAUAACCCUUUACAGAUGUCCUUGGGGAACCAGAAAAAGCAGACCAUGUUGGAGACUAAAAGAGAUUACAAAUUAACAAAAACUAUUUCUCUGGGUAGUGGCUUCAUCGUUAAAGCGUCUAACCUUUUGAAUGAUUUCGAGUGGGUUGAACUUCUCUGUGGUCGAUGCCUAUCACCUCUUGGGUCAUACCCUUCUCAGGGUUCACUUGUUCCGGCUGAUGGCCGUCUACGACUCUUCAAGUGCUACACAUCUACAGAACUUCCUGUUAUGGGGCCUCAUGAUGUGUUUAGGGGACAUACAUUGGAAAGAGUUUUUGUUAAUCUGUUGCUCGAAGUUGCAGAAGAUGAAAUAUCUUUUCGUACAUUAGUCAGAGAUUUGAAAACCAAAAGGCCCAUCCUGCAACUAGUUCUUCUUAGUUCAAAAGCAUGGUUAUCUUCUGGUUGCUGCGAUGAAAAUGAUAUGGAUGGUUCACAUGGAACAGCAGAUCUGCAGCCUAGUGUUAAACUCUUGUAUUCGGAUUAUAGCAAUGCUUCAGAAGCAGACUUAAGGAUAGUAGAAGAGUGGUCAUCCAAAUAUCGGGCUGAAGAGCUGUACACAAUGAAGCGUCAAAUAGAUGAACUUACUGAUUGCCUAAGCUCAGCAAUGGACAACUUUCCGGUUUCUUGUUCUUCCCUUGAAGGGAUGCACCUGUCAUCCCUGAGGCGUUGACUUGAUCAGUAUACGAUAGAGAAAUUGUGUCUAGACUGAUCACAUUUUUGUAUCUAGAGGAAUCUACAGCAUAGAAUUCUGAUAGGCAUAUGAGAUCGUCCUCAGUUUCUUUUGACCUUUCAGCAAGCUCCCUGAUCGUAUCUUCUUUAAACUGCAAGAUGCCAUGGCUUGUCCUCUACUCUCAAAAGACUUCGUUUACAUUGAAAUGGUGUUAUGGCUAAUCCAGCUGUGCAUAAAUACUGGCCCAGGUUGUCUCUGCUAAUAGGGUUCUUAGAUUUCUGGUAAAUUCCUAUUAUUCAAAACAAAUGUUUGGAGUGACUUGUUCUUUGGAUCCUUUAGGAUUUGGAUUGAUCUGAACUAUACAUCUUCUAUUGAAACAGCCAAGUCUUUUGGCCUGAUUUCCUACUUUUGACUGCAA